CCUACGGGAGGCAGCAGUGAGGAAUAUUGGUCAAUGGGCGGAAGGCUGAACCAGCCAAGCCGCGUGAAGGAUGAAGGUGCCAAGCAUUGUAAACUUCUUUUGUCAAGGGACAAAAUGAGGCUCGAGAGCCUGAACGAGGGGACCUCGAGAAAAAGCAUCGGCUAACUCCGUGCCCGCAGCCGCGGUAAUACGGAGGAAGCGAGCGUGAUCCGGAUUUAUUGGGUUUAAAGGGUGCUUAGGCGGACUGUUAAGUCAGUGGUAAAAGCUCGGGGCUCAACCCCGGCGCGCCGUUGAAAAUGGCUGUCUUGAGAGGAAGAGAGGUAUGCGGAAUGCGCGGUGUAGCGGUGACAUGCAUAGAUAUUGCGCAGAACCCCGAUUGCGAAGGCAGCAUACCGGCUGCGAUCUGACGCUGAGGCACGAAAGCGUGGGUAUCGAACAGGAUUAGAUACCCGAGUAGUC
rnacentral:rRNA from 1 species